AAAAGCCAGACCACAAUAAGGCCACUGCAGUCAGCUACCACAGAAUUUGCGAUCUGAUCCUACGCUUACAGUAAACCCUGUCGACAAAGAGGGAAACGGUUUCCUCUUUUUCUGGAUAUCACAGGUGAAGAUCAAGAGAGGAUCUCAUUAUAUAUAGCUGCCUUUUCUUCUGGCUGCUGCCCUGUCGAUCAUCCUCCAUGAAUGGGGAUCCCCAGGUCGGUCCUCAGCUCCUGAGGACGAAGGGCAGUGGGGAGUCUGGAGAGGGGGGCUCGCAAAACUCCUGGACCGCCAAAGACAGAACAACCUGGGGGGAACUGCGAUGACACCGUCGUGCAACCAUGGGUCAUGGCAGCAUCAUCAGAGGAAACUGUUGUAUGAACAAUGCCGCUCCACACAAGGCCGGCCCGGAGAUUGCACAGUGGGAACAUAAGAUGGGACCUUUAACACCCUGAGACCUGCCGUGCCGCUGGCAAUCCCGACCGACUUUCUGUCUUCAAGAGGUUGUAGUGGGCUGAGUUUUAAAGCUAGAGUGAUACUGGCAUCAUAUGAAACUAGAAGACCUAAGGGAUACAUUGGUACCAACCAUGUCAUGCUUCUCAGGAAGAGAGCUAAAUGAUGCUCCAAAGUUUGACUUAAUUCACAAGGGUCCCUUGACCUCUCACCUUAAGAUAUCUAAAUGAAACUGAGUUCUGUGGGUACCCACUAGUCUCCCCUUUACAGGUAUGUCCACUUUAUGCUGGUCCCAUUUAUGUCCCAUAAAUGUGUUAUUUUUGCCCAAUAUAUUUGAAUAUUUCUGUGUACUGGUGUCCCUAAACAGACUUGGAAAUGCAUAAAUUGGGUAUGACUGGAAAGCUGAGACUCUUGUGGAUUCAGUGAGCCCAGUUUUAUUUGUGUGAUGAAGUUAGCCCACAUAGCAGCCAUUUCACUGUAGUGAGACCAUUUCUUUGAAACAAACAUCCAUUUAAAAAGAUGACUAUAUAUAAAUAUGAUUAUGUAUAAAAAUGCUAACUGUCUAAACUUUCUAAUACUAAAUCACAGCAUGGAUUUUUUGUGCUGUCCCUUCAGGUCUUAGUGUCUUAAUGUGGUAUUUUGGAGGGAGUUCUCAGGUGGUAAAGAAACUUAGGACCACAACUCUAUAACAAAUUGUAUCAACCCCCUAAUAGCUGAAACAACUUAUGAGACAUAAUAGAGCAUGAGAAUGACUGUCAUAUGCUGCCGUAAGCCCUUAUACACACUAAAUGUUCAAAGUUUGACUAGGCACCUAACCAAAACACAAUGCUUAUUACAGAUUUAUGGCACACAGUGCUGAGCUGCAUCUCAGAGGGUAAAGGAUAUCAAGAAAGUAACAAAGUAAAAUAGCACAUUUGCAGUAAUACUUGUCACAGAACUUUUGUUAUUGAAACACUGCCUAAAUUACUCUUUUGUCAAACCAUCAGAUUGUCAGAUACAUUUCCCCUCUGAA